rnacentral:rRNA from 1 species
UUAAGCGACUAAGCGUACACGGUGGAUGCCCUGGCAGUCAGAGGCGAUGAAGGACGUGCUAAUCUGCGAAAAGCGUCGGUAAGGUGAUAUGAACCGUUACAGCCGGCGAUGUCCGAAUGGGGAAACCCAGUGCAAUUCGUUGCACUAUCGUUAACUGAAUACAUAGGUUAACGAGGCGAACCGGGGGAACUGAAACAUCUAAGUACCCCGAGGAAAAGAAAUCAACCGAGAUUCCCCCAGUAGCGGCGAGCGAACGGGGAGCAGCCCAGAGUCUGAAUCAGCUUGUGUGUUAGUGGAACGGUCUGGAAAGUCCGACGGUACAGGGUGAUAGUCCCGUACACCAAAAUGCACAGGUUGUGAACUCGAAGAGUAGGGCGGGACACGUGGUAUCCUGUCUGAAUAUGGGGGGACCAUCCUCCAAGGCUAAAUACUCCUGACUGACCGAUAGUGAACCAGUACCGUGAGGGAAAGGCGAAAAGAACCCCGGCGAGGGGAGUGAAAAAGAACCUGAAACCGUGUACGUACAAGCAGUGGGAGCACCUUCGGGUGUGACUGCGUACCUUUUGUAUAAUGGGUCAGCGACUUAUAUUCUGUAGCAAGGUUAACCGUAUAGGGGAGCCGCAGGGAAACCGAGUCUUAACUGGGCGUUAAGUUGCAGGGUAUAGACCCGAAACCCGGUGAUCUAGCCAUGGGCAGGUUGAAGGUUGGGUAACACUAACUGGAGGACCGAACCGACUAAUGUUGAAAAAUUAGCGGAUGACUUGUGGCUGGGGGUGAAAGGCCAAUCAAACCGGGAGAUAGCUGGUUCUCCCCGAAAGCUAUUUAGGUAGCGCCUCGUGAACUCAUCUUCGGGGGUAGAGCACUGUUUCGGCUAGGGGGUCAUCCCGACUUACCAACCCGAUGCAAACUACGAAUACCGAAGAAUGUUAUCACGGGAGACACACGGCGGGUGCUAACGUCCGUCGUGAAGAGGGAAACAACCCAGACCGCCAGCUAAGGUCCCAAAGUCAUGGUUAAGUGGGAAACGAUGUGGGAAGGCACAGACAGCCAGGAUGUUGGCUUAGAAGCAGCCAUCAUUUAAAGAAAGCGUAAUAGCUCACUGGUCGAGUCGGCCUGCGCGGAAGAUGUAACGGGGCUAAACCAUGCACCGAAGCUGCGGCAGCGACACUAUGUGUUGUUGGGUAGGGGAGCGUUCUGUAAGCCUGCGAAGGUGUGCUGUGAGGCAUGCUGGAGGUAUCAGAAGUGCGAAUGCUGACAUAAGUAACGAUAAAGCGGGUGAAAAGCCCGCUCGCCGGAAGACCAAGGGUUCCUGUCCAACGUUAAUCGGGGCAGGGUGAGUCGACCCCUAAGGCGAGGCCGAAAGGCGUAGUCGAUGGGAAACAGGUUAAUAUUCCUGUACUUGGUGUUACUGCGAAGGGGGGACGGAGAAGGCUAUGUUAGCCGGGCGACGGUUGUCCCGGUUUAAGCAUGUAGGCUGAUUGUCCAGGCAAAUCCGGAUAAUCAAGGCUGAGGUGUGAUGACGAGGCACUACGGUGCUGAAGUAACAAAUGCCCUGCUUCCAGGAAAAGCCUCUAAGCAUCAGGUAACAUUAAAUCGUACCCCAAACCGACACAGGUGGUCAGGUAGAGAAUACCAAGGCGCUUGAGAGAACUCGGGUGAAGGAACUAGGCAAAAUGGUGCCGUAACUUCGGGAGAAGGCACGCUGGUGUGUAGGUGAAGUCCCUGCGGAUGGAGCUGAGACCAGUCGAAGAUACCAGCUGGCUGCAACUGUUUAUUAAAAACACAGCACUGUGCAAACACGAAAGUGGACGUAUACGGUGUGACGCCUGCCCGGUGCCGGAAGGUUAAUUGAUGGGGUUAUCCGUAAGGAGAAGCUCUUGAUCGAAGCCCCGGUAAACGGCGGCCGUAACUAUAACGGUCCUAAGGUAGCGAAAUUCCUUGUCGGGUAAGUUCCGACCUGCACGAAUGGCGUAAUGAUGGCCAGGCUGUCUCCACCCGAGACUCAGUGAAAUUGAACUCGCUGUGAAGAUGCAGUGUACCCGCGGCAAGACGGAAAGACCCCGUGAACCUUUACUAUAGCUUGACACUGAACAUUGAGCCUUGAUGUGUAGGAUAGGUGGGAGGCUUUGAAGCGUGGACGCCAGUCUGCGUGGAGCCAACCUUGAAAUACCACCCUUUAAUGUUUGAUGUUCUAACGUUGGCCCCUGACCGGGGUUGCGGACAGUGUCUGGUGGGUAGUUUGACUGGGGCGGUCUCCUCCCAAAGCGUAACGGAGGAGCACGAAGGUUAGCUAAUCCUGGUCGGACAUCAGGAGGUUAGUGCAAUGGCAUAAGCUAGCUUGACUGCGAGCGUGACGGCGCGAGCAGGUGCGAAAGCAGGUCAUAGUGAUCCGGUGGUUCUGAAUGGAAGGGCCAUCGCUCAACGGAUAAAAGGUACUCCGGGGAUAACAGGCUGAUACCGCCCAAGAGUUCAUAUCGACGGCGGUGUUUGGCACCUCGAUGUCGGCUCAUCACAUCCUGGGGCUGAAGUAGGUCCCAAGGGUAUGGCUGUUCGCCAUUUAAAGUGGUACGCGAGCUGGGUUUAGAACGUCGUGAGACAGUUCGGUCCCUAUCUGCCGUGGGCGCUGGAGAAUUGAGGGGGGCUGCUCCUAGUACGAGAGGACCGGAGUGGACGCAUCACUGGUGUUCGGGUUGUCAUGCCAAUGGCACUGCCCGGUAGCUAAAUGCGGAAGAGAUAAGUGCUGAAAGCAUCUAAGCACGAAACUUGCCCCGAGAUGAGUUCUCCCUGAGACUUUAAGUCUCCUGAAGGAACGUUGAAGACGACGACGUUGAUAGGCCGGGUGUGUAAGCGCAGCGAUGCGUUGAGCUAACCGGUACUAAUGAACCGUGAGGCUUAACCU